UGGAACGCUAUUUCUGGAUUUGACUGUCAGC
rnacentral:piRNA from 1 species